GACGAACGCUGGCGGCGUGCCUAAUACAUGCAAGUAGAACGCUGAAGGAGGAGCUUGCUUCUCUGGAUGAGUUGCGAGCGGGUGAGUAACGCGUAGGUAACCUGCCUGGUAGCGGGGGAUAACUAUUGGAAACGAUAGCCAAUACCGCAUAAUAGCAGUUGUUGCAUGACAACUGUUUGAAAGGUGCAAUUGCACCACUACCAGAUGGACCUGCGUUGUAUUAGCUAGUUGGUGGGGUAACGGCUCACCAAGGCGACGAUACAUAGCCGACCUGAGAGGGUGAUCGGCCACACUGGGACUGAGACACGGCCCAGACUCCUACGGGAGGCAGCAGUAGGGAAUCUUCGGCAAUGGACGGAAGUCUGACCGAGCAACGCCGCGUGAGUGAAGAAGGUUUUCGGAUCGUAAAGCUCUGUUGUAAGAGAAGAACGAGUGUGAGAGUGGAAAGUUCACACUGUGACGGUAUCUUACCAGAAAGAGACGGCUAACUACGUG
rnacentral:rRNA from 1 species